rnacentral:rRNA from 1 species
CAGUAGCCGCGGGAAUACGUAGGUCCCGAGCGUUGUCCGGAUUUAUUGGGCGUAAAGCGUGCGCAGGCGGUUAGAUAAGUCUGAAGUUAAAGGCUGUGGCUUAACCAUAGUACGCUUUGGAAACUGCUUAACUUGAGUGCAAGAGGGGAGAGUGGAAUUCCAUGUGUAGCGGUGAAAUGCGUAGAUAUAUGGAGGAACACCGGUGGCGAAAGCGGCUCUCUGGCUUGUAACUGACGCUGAGGCUCGAAAGCGUGGGGAGCAAACAGGAUUAGAGACCCGCGUAGUCCCUGUCUCUUAUACA